rnacentral:rRNA from 1 species
GACGAACGCUGGCGGCGUGCUUAACACAUGCAAGUCGAGCGACGAAGCACCUUCGGGUGUGAAUUAGCGGCGAACGGGUGAGGAACACGUGAAGAAUCUGCCUUCAACUCUGGGAUAACUCCGGGAAACCGGGGCUAAUACCGGAUAUGAGCCUUGAUCGCAUGAUCGGGGCUGGAAAGUUUUUCGGUUGAAGAUGACUUCGCGGCCUAUCAGCUUGUUGGUGAGGUAAUGGCUCACCAAGGCGACGACGGGGAGCCGGCCUGAGAGGGCGACCGGCCACACUGGGACUGAGACACGGCCCAGACUCCUACGGGAGGCAGCAGUGGGGAAUAUUGGGCAAUGGAGGAAACUCUGACCCAGCGACGCCGCGUGAGGGAUGAAGGCCUUCGGGUUGUAAACCUCUUUCAGUAGGGAAGAAGCGAAAGUGACGGUACCUACAGAAGAAGCACCGGCUAACUAUGUGCCAGCAGCCGCAGUAA